rnacentral:rRNA from 1 species
UACGAAGGGGGCUAGCGUUGUUCGGAAUCACUGGGCGUAAAGGGCGCGUAGGCGGCUUUGUAAGUCGGGGGUGAAAGCCUGUGGCUCAACCACAGAAUUGCCUUCGAUACUGCGAGGCUUGAGACCGGAAGAGGUUAGUGGAACUGCGAGUGUAGAGGUGAAAUUCGUAGAUAUUCGCAAGAACACCAGUGGCGAAGGCGGCUGACUGGUCCGGAUCUGACGCUGAGGCGCGAAAGCGUGGGGAGCAAACAGGAUAGAA